rnacentral:rRNA from 1 species
AGUCGAGAAUCGUUGAAAUGCGCGAAAGCGUGAUCACGUGACGCUGCGUGGAGGAUGAAGGCCUUCGGGUUGUAAACUCCUGUCAUUUGGGAACAAUUGUUCCGGCAGUAAUACUGUCGGGAUUUGAUGGUACCAAAAGAGGAAGCCACGGCUAACUCUGUGCCAGCAGCCGCGGUAAUACAGAGGUGGCGAGCGUUGUUCGGAUUUACUGGGCGUAAAGGGUGCGUAGGUGGUUGCGUGUGUCGGAUGUGAAAGCCCACUGCCCAACGGUGGAACUGCAUUCGAAACUACGGAACUUGAGUACAGGAAGGGAGAGUGGAAUUCUUGGUGUAGCGGUGAAAUGUGUUGAUAUCAAGAAGAACACCGGUGGCGAAGGCGGCUCUCUGGAAUGCUACUGACACUGAUGCACGAAAGCUGGGGAAGCAAACAGGAUUAGAUACCCUGGUAGUCCCAGCCGUAAACGGUGUGCACUUGGUGUGGGGGGUAUUGACCCCCCCCGUGCCGGAGCUAACGCGUUAAGUGCACCGCCUGGGGAGUACGGCCGCAAGGCUAAAACUCAAAGAAAUUGACGGGGGCCCGCACAAGCGGAGGAGCAUGUGGCUCAAUUCGAUGCAACGCGAAGAACCUUACCAGGGCUUGACAUGUAGCUGCACGCCCCGAGAAAUCGGGGAAGCUUUCGAAGGUGCUACACAGGUGCUGCAUGGCUGUCGUCAGUUCGUGCCGUGAGGUGUUGGGUUAAGUCCCGCAACGAACGCAACCCCUAUGUUCAGUUGCCACCGCAGGUGAUGAGCUUGCGAGCACUCUGGACAGACUGCCCGUAUAAGCGGGAGGAAGGUGGGGACGACGUCAAGUCAGUAUGGCCCUUACGCCCUGGGCUGCACACGUGCUACAAUGGUCGGUACAAUGGGACGCAAUACCGCGAGGUGGAGCAAAUCCUCAAAAUCGGCCCCAGUUCGGAUUGGAGUCUGCAACUCGACUCCAUGAAGUGGGAUUCGCUAGUAACGGCGUAUCAGCUACGGCGCCGUGAAUACGU